CAGCCCGCGAUCGCAGCUCCUCUGAUGUGAACGCGCACAGAGCGCAAAGCUCAGGGCCAGACAAUGUUGUCGUAGUAAAGCCCUCAGGUCUACUCUGCAUGUAUUAACUGUGGCUAAACAUCAACUGCACUGAAGUCAUCAUAACUUCAGAAGUUCUCAUUUUCAAAUGAUUAUGAAUACU